rnacentral:rRNA from 1 species
GACGAACGCUGGCGGCGUGCUUAACACAUGCAAGUCGAAAGAAGUGGCGAACGGGUGAGUAAUACGUGGGUAACUGCCCUCCUGUUUGGGAUAAGCCUUGGAAACGGGGUCUAAUACAGAAUAAAGGGGGAUGGCUCGGGGCCUUUCAGCUUGUUGGUGGGGUAGUGGCCUAACAAGGCGACGACGGGUAGCCGGCCUGAGGGGGCGACCGGCCAUAUUGGGCGGAGAUACGGCCCAAACUCCGACGGGAGGGAGCAGUGGGGAAUAUUGCACAAUGGGCGAAACCCUUAUGCAUCACCGCCGCGUGCGGGAUGCCGGCCUUCGGGUUGUAACCCGCUUUCAGCCAUGACGCGGUGGUGGCACAAGACGCACCGGCUCACUACGUGCCAGCAGCCGCGGUAAUUC